UGUAGCAAAUAAGCCACUCCGCUUCCCGGUGACAAUAGGGAGGCUGUGCAGGGGGAGGGGGCACUGGCCUCUGCGUUUCUCAAUUUUGCUGUGAACCCAAAAUCGUCCUAAAAAAGUAGUACGGUGCUGAAUGCCCCAGGGCCUUCCCUAGUUCUCCUAGCCAUUCAACAGACAUGACUGAGCUUAGGAGCUCAUCUCAGAAAGGGCCCUGUGAACCCUGAAGCCAGCAUUUCCAUUGAGGAUACCGAUGGAGCACCCACCAUGUGCAAGCCCCUGUGUGAACACUUUGGACCAUCCUGUCUGGCCCGGUGGCUUCUUUCCCAAGCUGGAGCCUGAGAAUCUGCUCUCACUCAAACCUGCCCCUCCCCCUGCUCCCCAGCUUCUAGCCUCAAAUACCACCCUCUUCCUCUGGUGGUUGGUUCCUCAAAAUUACCACCCUGUCUCACUACUGGCCUGCCUCAGCAAGGUGCAGGGUGUCAUUAGCAGUUGAUUAAAUACCAGAGCUUGCGGUGGUUUGCA